UGAAUCCUGCGUGCUGUNCAAAAAGAUG
rnacentral:piRNA from 1 species